GGGGGGGGGCACAUCGCAUCAAAGGACCCCAACCGUGCCCACGGUCUUCAAGUUGUCUCGAUGUGCAGAUGAGCUGAUGGCGAGCUGGCCUCCCUCUCUGUCUGCCAAGACCGUCGUCUCGUGGCGGAGGGCUCCUCCGGUGACACACCACGUCUCAGCCGAACCCCCGGGAGUUGCUUCAGGAGCCAGCAUCUCUUUUGCUGUUGCUGCCACCGUCCGGCCCAGAUUCCCCGGAUCCAGCCUCAUCAAGCAAAAGGCAGGAGGGAGGCCAGGAGGAGGCCGUGCAAGAAUUUGCUCCAAAGGAGCUGCUUCAGUUACUUCAAAGGAACGAACGUCUCGCUCCUUUGAGUCUUUGCUGCAGAAGUUCUGAAAAAUCCCCUCAGGGACAAACCUUCCUGGAACCCACGCUCCCGCCCUGGGAAGGGCCUGCACGCCUGUGCGAAGGAGCCUGAUUUCAGCCCUCAUCGAGGCGCAGAUUCACUCAAAAGGCAGCGCCCUCAGCGCAGGGGGCGGUGAAUUGGGUCCUGGAUCACAGCCUGGAAGGCAGCGCUCGUCCUGGACGGCCGGGGUCCGGGCUUUCUGGGGGCUGGGGCAUCCCCGGGACGGUCAGGGUGUGUGACCUUCUCUGGGCAAAGCCUCAGAGAAAGUGACCCCCACGGGUGCCCCGGGGGCGUCUGCGGUUUAAUCUCGCAGAAGCCGGCUGGUGUCCCGCAGCUCCGAAGGAUGGGAAAUGCGAGUCCCAGUUCCGACAGACUUGUUCCAGGAACCGGGGCAUCGGUGAGGGGAGGCGUCAGGAGGAGCGAGGUGGGUGUCAGCCCGGAGCUCGGCCACCCGCGUCCGCUCCUGGGGCAGCUGCUGCAACAGACGAGCACGGACGUCGGAAGGGAGGUGCGCAGGGUUUUGAAGGGCAGGAGUCCAGGACCCAGACGUGGACAGGGCCUCAGGCCCCCGCAGGCUCCUCAGAGCCCUCUGUGCGACGGAAGCCCCCUCCCUGUGGACGCCAGGCCUGCCUGGGCCGGCCAGCCUCGCCCCGAGGUCAGUCUUGUGCUGUCUGUCCCUCCCUGUGCCAGAUAGUUGUGUGAGUUGUCCCCUUUCCUGGGGGUUGGCACCAGAAAACGAGCUGGCGCAGUUACCGGGUCUUGCCUGGCAGGGGGCUCAGGUCUGUCCUGUCAGGACUCAGCGCUGCCCUGUCCCCGUGGGGUUGGGCCCGGGGCCACCUCCUUCCCCUCCGUUCCUCCUUUCCUGCCUCCUUCGGCUUCAUGUGAAAAGCGAUUUUAACUCUUCCAACUCCUAAUGACGUUCAAGUUAAACCUCUUGGUUGAACACGUUUGCGGGGUUGCUCUAGAAACUUUCUCAGUUUUUCAUACUCAAACUUUUUUUUUUUUUUUUUUUGGUCACACCUGCAGCAUGUGGAAGUUCCUGGGCCAGGGAUUAAACCCUUGUCAUAGCAGUGACAACAUAGGACCUUUUUUUUUUUUUUUUUUUUUGUCUUUUUGCCUUUCCUAGGGCUGCUCCUCGCGGCAUAUCCCAGGCCAGGGGUCUAAUCAGAGCUGUAGCCGCUGGCCUACGCCAGAGCCACAGCUACGCAGGAUCCCAGCCGCGUCUGCAACCUACACCACAGCUCACGGCAACACAGGAUCUUCAACCCAGUGAGCAAGGCCGGGGAUCGAACCCUCAACCUCAUGGUUCCCAGUCGGAUGCGUUAACCACUGCGCCAUGACGGGGAUUCCUCAACAUGGGACCUUUAACCUGCUGAGCCACCAAAGAACUCCCUCCUUUUUUCUUAUUAGUAUUUUUUCAGACUUUUCUCCUCAUUCUCAUUUUUCAAAAAGUUUGACUAAGAUCUGUCCUUUGUCUAUAACAUGACAGGGUUGCUGAGCUA
rnacentral:lncRNA from 1 species